UAUUACUUACUUUGAAAAAAAAUGAUUAAUUAUUUCAAUUUUGAAGGUUUAUGGAUCACUUCAAUUCUUGUUUCGGAAUAAUGUUCUUUAUUCUUAUCAUAUUAGGCGUGAUUAGCAUAAGCGUUUGGAUGUUUCGAGUAAGUACCAUAUAAAAUAUCGUGCUUAGAAAUAUGCUUUCUAAAUAUUAAGUUACUUUUUAAAUAAAAUUUUGAUUUGUUCCAGCUUCUUCUAAUUUUACAAACUUCUAAUGAUUUGUGCGAACUUUUUGUAAUCUUAUCAGGAUUAAUCGGAUACUUCUUAUAUUCAUUUCUCUUGAAUAAUGCAGGGCAAGAAUUUUUGGAUCACUGUAACAAUGUAUGUCUUGCAACAUAUAAUUCGAUAUGGUACAUAGCGCCACUUCGAAUUCAGAAAUUAAUAUUGUUUCUACUACAAUAUGGCACGAAAAAUUUUACUAUCCUCUUCGGCGGUUUUUUUUGUCAAUUCACUAGAAGGUUUUACUACGGUAAUUGUGUAGCUACUAUAAAUUAAUAUUCUAAAAUAAUUUUCUGAGAAUAUACAAACGCAAAUAAAAAAAUGCAUUUUUUAGAUACUAAGUACAUCUUUAUCCUAUUUUAUGGUACUUUACUCUACACAAUUAAACGAUGAAAGAAUGAAGAAAUAAACCUCUUGAAAUUUUAUCAUUAAAAGAGAAAUAGCGCAAAACUUAAAUCAUAUUGAAAUCAUAAGGUAUUUUGAUCAAUAUUCGCAAUAUAUUAACAUUGCUAGAAUUGGAUUUUUUAUAGUAGAUGGAAUGUUGUGCUAAAUUUUUAAGACUAACGAAAA